UAUUUAUAUCUACACACACACGCUGAUUAUAUUCCCUAUUUAUAUCUAUACACACACACUGAUUAUAUUCCCUAUUUAUAUCUAUACACACACACACUGAUUAUAUUCCCUAUUUAUAUCUAUACACACACACACUGAUUAUAUUCCCUAUUUAUAUCUAUACACACACACGCUGAUUAUAUUCCCUAUUUAUAUCUAUACACACACACUGAUUAUAUUCCCUAUUUAUAUCUAUACACACACACACUGAUUAUAUUCUCUAUUUAUAUAUAUACACACACUGAUUAUAUUCCCUAUUUAUAUCUAUACACACACACUGAUUAUAUUCCCUAUUUAUAUCUAUACACACACACACUGAUU